rnacentral:rRNA from 1 species
UACGUAGGGGGGCAAGCGUUGUCCGGAAUCAUUGGGCGUAAAGCGCGUGUAGGCGGCUAGGUAAGUCUGCUCUGAAAGCCCGGGGCUCAACCCCGGGAGGCGGGUGGAUACUGUCUAGCUCGAGUCCGGAAGAGGAGUGUGGAAUUCCUGGUGUAGCGGUGAAAUGCGCAGAUAUCAGGAAGAACACCCGUGGCGAAGGCGGUUCUCUGGGACGGUACUGACGCUGAGACGCGAAAGCGUGGGGAGCGAACAGG